AAAUUGCAUCGGAUAGACCACUUCAGCUCUAAUUUCUGAAACAGAACAUAUGCCAUCCAGUAGUUGCCAUCUGCUCACCCACAGAAAAUCAUAUUUAAUAAUCUAGAGCUGGUGUGGCCUAUCCACAGGCUGAGAACCACUGCAUUAGAGAAUACCAUAGAACCAUCUGAGUGCAAUUUAGUUACACCACAAAUAAUACCUGACCCUGCACAGAUUCUUGCUCAGAUGGAAUGGUCAGAGGCUCUACAUCCACCACCACCUUAUCUAGUGACCUCAGACUUUCACCUGUUUGAUCAGAUGAUGGAAGCUCUUCAGGGACAACAUCUCAAUCAUCUGCAAAGUGGAUGAUGCUAUCAGACACUGGACCAAGGAAUGCCUGAAAGAGUUUUUCCAAAGUGGAUUUGAUGAUUGGAGUGCUGCAGCAGAGAAGGCCGUCUCUCAUGACCUUGUACUUCAUAUUGCACCUGCCAGUGGGGUAGAGAGAAGACCCCCUCGUGCACACCUUGGGCAGGUAUCUAUAGGGAGAGAUGCUCCUUUUGAUAUUAUAGUCCCAAGCUGUUUGUCUUUAAAUAUCAUCACUGGCAUCUAAAAACGCUCUAAAAGAGUAACAGCCAAAUAUGUCAUAACAAAGCAAGUAGUCUCUUUCUCACUUGUUACAAUUAACUUUGUUGCACCCUCCUUUUCAAGAACUGUAACAUGUUACCACUACUUAUGUCACUUGUAACUUCAUGUUUUUAGACUUUGUGCAACAUUGCAAACGGAAGCAUGAUUGUGUUGGUCCUAUGUCCAGGUGGGCACUAUUAUGAUAUAUUUACCUUGGAACCUAGUAUCCAAAUUAAAGAUGAUGU
rnacentral:lncRNA from 11 species